rnacentral:rRNA from 1 species
AGAGUUUGAUCCUGGCUCAGAUUGAACGCUGGCGGCAGGCUUAACACAUGCAAGUCGAGCGGAGCGAGGGUGCUUGCACCUUAGCUUAGCGGCGGACGGGUGAGUAAUGCUUAGGAAUCUGCCUAUUAGUGGGGGACAACAUUCCGAAAGGGAUGCUAAUACCGCAUACGCCCUACGGGGGAAAGCAGGGGAUCUUCGGACCUUGCGCUAAUAGAUGAGCCUAAGUCGGAUUAGCUAGUUGGUGGGGUAAAGGCCUACCAAGGCGACGAUCUGUAGCGGGUCUGAGAGGAUGAUCCGCCACACUGGGACUGAGACACGGCCCAGACUCCUACGGGAGGCAGCAGUGGGGAAUAUUGGACAAUGGGCGGAAGCCUGAUCCAGCCAUGCCGCGUGUGUGAAGAAGGCCUUUUGGUUGUAAAGCACUUUAAGCGAGGAGGAGGCUACUAGUAUUAAUACUACUGGAUAGUGGACGUUACUCGCAGAAUAAGCACCGGCUAACUCUGUGCCAGCAGCCGCGGUAAUACAGAGGGUGCGAGCGUUAAUCGGAUUUACUGGGCGUAUAGCGUGCGUAGGCGGCUUUUUAAGUCGGAUGUGAAAUCCCCCGAGCUUAACUUGAGAAUUGCAUUCGAUACUGCGAAGCUAGAGUAUGUGAGAGGAAUGGUAGAAUUCCAGGUGUAGCGGGGAAAUGCGUA